AUUACACACUGACGGUCAGACAGGUAGUGUUCUUUGUCUGUUCUGUGAUUUCAUAUUAGCUUAGAUAUAGCUUUUCUGUUGUUGGAUGGGAACCAAUGUUGUUGUUUCAUGCAGUAGGAUCAUGGAUAGAAUAAGAGUAGGGUGUUGGGGAUUUUGAAGGUUUAUGUUGACCAUAGACAGCUUACUGGCGACAAGCAGAUUUGUAUAAAGUUUUAUUGUGUUAUUGAUAUACAAUACAAUAUAUUGUACUGUAAUUCUUAAUUUCAGUGUGGAGAUAAAAACAACACAAAGCUCACUUUACCUGGCUGAUGGAUUCCGGCUCCCUCUGGUGUAAUAGAAUGUGAACUACAGGUUGAGUCUCCAGAACAAGCCUCACCAUGGUAGGAAACUGUGGAUUUAUGGUAUUUGUCUUGCUGAACACAGCUAUUGUCUAAAUCUUAGCCGUGUGUCAACGGGAUUGUUUGCACUUUGGAGUUGGACUGACAUGAAUGUGACAGCAGAAGCACUCGCUUUCUUCAGUCUGUUGGUCUAUAUGGGUAAGUACAGCUCUGAAGGUUGACAUCAGUUUACACGUUCUG